AGACAAUUAUUUUAUUUGCUGAGCAUUAUUUACCCUUAACUUUACCUAAUUACUAAUCUCAUUUUGUUUCCCCUUUUUGAAAUAAUCUUUUAACCCUUUAGCAUUCAGAUUACUCUGUUAAAUGUAAUAUUUUUUUACUCAAAUUGUUUUGAAUUCAUCAAGCAUUAUCUUAUAGCUUUGGGGUUUCAAUGAUGUGAUUGCUUAUUUUUAGAAUGUCAAUGUAGGUUAGGUGUGAGAGGUUAGAUAUCGCCAGUUUGAAUAUGAAACAUAGAAUAUUUGGGCCGGUUUAAACACUAAAGGGUCAAAGCUCAAUACUUUUCCUGAUGCCAGCUGUUUAAUCACCUUUUACAUGACGUACUCAAGACAUGUGUUGUAAAACCAAGAUACACGCAGUGUUUGUCAAAGGAAAGAAAAUAUAAUGUUAUUUUACAUAUAACUACUACUAUGACAACAUGAGUGUGGUAACUUACUGCUGUAAUAUUUCUAAUAAAAAUCAUUUAUUCAC
rnacentral:lncRNA from 1 species